GGCCGGGCUAGCGGGCUACUGGGCUGCGGAGACCAGAGCCCGGCUCCACUGAAGAAACCCGCCGGCUGCUGGGGCAGGGCGGCGAAAGGUCAGUCGGCCGAGAGGAGUCCGUGGAGCCACCGUUUCAUAGCCUCAGGGAAAGGAUCGGGCGUGCUCACGAGCCCUCUAACCCAUGGCUUAAACACCCGCUUCCUAAGCCUGGAUGGAAUGAUAGGGUAUGCAUAAAUGUUCAUGUGGGCUCUGGAGUAUACCAGGAACUGAAGUAAGGUACAUGGACGUCUUGAAUAUUGUAACUGAGAUGGGCAAGCCUACACCUUUGCAAAUAAAGGAGGAUUGGGAAAGAUUAAGCCUCUCAAGCACUGUGAAAAAUCACUUUCUCUUGUUGUAUUCUUGGAGCCCCUGCUAAUUCAUUAUUGAAAAAUACCUGCUGCCUGCAUUUGGCCUUAUGUUGUCAUUUACUUGGUACUUCCUAAGCGUGGCUACUCCAAUGAAGCUUUAGUAUAUGUACUGAAAGAAGAUCCUCUCAUACUGCCACAGCCAAGAGAUAAGGUUGUAAAUCUUUAUUGGGAGAAGCCGUCAAGGACAGUUCUGUGAAAUGAAAGGAUCUCUGGAUCACCACAAAGUCUGGCUCAGUGACUAUGGCUUUGCAAACACUAAACAUUCCUGUCUCAAGUCCUGUAGAUGGCUUGAAAUAGUAUACAUAAGCAUGCCUUAUAAACAUCUUCAGUCUUUAUCAACUCUUUGGAGAUUCAGCCAUUCUUUUUUGUACUUUAGGGAAUUAAAUCAUUUUAUAAUGUAUAAAUCUGAGCAUGGCCGAUGGCAGAAGAAAUUUUGUCAUACGUUUUUAAAGAAAUAAAAAUGUAUUAUGUUUUAAAAUUCCUUUAACUGUUUUUCUUACAAAAU
rnacentral:lncRNA from 1 species